AAGUCGUAACAAGGUUUCCGUAGGUGAACCUGCGGAAGGAUCAUUACUAGUAGUUGGUUGGGUGUGGGGGGUUAUGUUAUAAUGACUUCCAACAUACCACAUUUGCGCUUGUCUUGUUUCACAGAGUAAAUUGCCUUAUAAUCAGACAUAACUUUUAACAAUGGAUCUCUGGGCUCUU
rnacentral:misc_RNA from 1 species